rnacentral:rRNA from 2 species
UCUAUACAUGCAGUCGAGCGAACAGAUGAGAAGCUUGCUUCUCUGAUGUUAGCGGCGGACGGGUGAGUAACACGUGGGUAACCUACCUAUAAGACUGGGAUAACUCCGGGAAACCGGGGCUAAUACCGGAUAAUAUUUUGAACCGCAUGGUUCAAUAUUGAAAGACGGUUUCGGCUGUCACUUAUAGAUGGACCCGCGCCGUAUUAGCUAGUUGGUAAGGUAAUGGCUUACCAAGGCAACGAUACGUAGCCGACCUGAGAGGGUGAUCGGCCACACUGGAACUGAGACACGGUCCAGACUCCUACGGGAGGCAGCAGUAGGGAAUCUUCCGCAAUGGGCGAAAGCCUGACGGAGCAACGCCGCGUGAGUGAUGAAGGUCUUAGGAUCGUAAAACUCUGUUGUUAGGGAAGAACAAAUUUGUUAGUAACUGAACAAGUCUUGACGGUACCUAACCAGAAAGCCACGGCUAACUACGUGCCAGCAGCCGCGGUAAUACGUAGGUGGCAAGCGUUAUCCGGAAUUAUUGGGCGUAAAGCGCGCGUAGGCGGUUUCUUAAGUCUGAUGUGAAAGCCCACGGCUCAACCGUGGAGGGUCAUUGGAAACUGGGGAACUUGAGUGCAGAAGAGGAGAGUGGAAUUCCAUGUGUAGCGGUGAAAUGCGCAGAGAUAUGGAGGAACACCAGUGGCGAAGGCGGCUCUCUGGUCUGUAACUGACGCUGAUGUGCGAAAGCGUGGGGAUCAAACAGGAUUAGAUACCCUGGUAGUCCACGCCGUAAACGAUGAGUGCUAAGUGUUAGGGGGUUUCCGCCCCUUAGUGCUGCAGCUAACGCAUUAAGCACUCCGCCUGGGGAGUACGACCGCAAGGUUGAAACUCAAAGGAAUUUGACGGGGACCCGCACAAGCGGUGGAGCAUGUGGUUUAAUUCGAAGCAACGCGAAGAACCUUACCAAAUCUUGACAUCCUUUGA